rnacentral:rRNA from 1 species
UUUACUCCCUACGGGAGGCAGCAGUGGGGAAUAUUGGACAAUGGGCGAAAGCCUGAUCCAGCCAUGCCGCGUGUGUGAAGAAGGUCUUCGGAUUGUAAAGCACUUUAAGUUGGGAGGAAGGGUUGUAGAUUAAUACUCUGCAAUUUUGACGUUACCGACAGAAUAAGCACCGGCUAACUCUGUGCCAGCAGCCGCGGUAAUACAGAGGGUGCAAGCGUUAAUCGGAAUUACUGGGCGUAAAGCGCGCGUAGGUGGUUCGUUAAGUUGGAUGUGAAAUCCCCGGGCUCAACCUGGGAACUGCAUCCAAAACUGGCGAGCUAGAGUAUGGUAGAGGGUGGUGGAAUUUCCUGUGUAGCGGUGAAAUGCGUAGAUAUAGGAAGGAACACCAGUGGCGAAGGCGACCACCUGGACUGAUACUGACACUGAGGUGCGAAAGCGUGGGGAGCAAACAGGAUUAGAUACCCUGGUAGUCCACGCCGUAAACGAUGUCAACUAGCCGUUGGGAGCCUUGAGCUCUUAGUGGCGCAGCUAACGCAUUAAGUUGACCGCCUGGGGAGUACGGCCGCAAGGUUAAAACUCAAAUGAAUUGACGGGGGCCCGCACAAGCGGUGGAGCAUGUGGUUUAAGUCGAAGCAACGCGAAGAACCUUACCAGGCCUUGACAUCCAAUGAACUUCCCAGAGAUGGAUUGUG